GCUGCCCUUCGACUCACUGUGCCUGUGCAGAGGGGAGGAACUGAAACGUCCCUAGUAUGACAGGGGUCUGUGACGUACCGUGUAACCAGAAGCUAGUGGGGUUGAGUCCCAGGGAGGACAUCACUUCAGCUUGUGGGAGGGAUAGACAGGAUCUCGGCUUGGUACCGGGGAGCAAUCGCUCGUCGUGAUGUUUACUAUGGUGAGCAGACAAGCCUACAAGGGCAACACAGCCAACAUCGGAUCAGCACCAGGCUAAAAUCCGGCCUGACACACUGGCGUUUGCAAGUUAAGUUAUGCAGCUUACCACAGUUAACCACACUUUGCUAGGGUACGGUAAAAAAGAGCACAGCAGCUACGCGGACAUCAUCCAGACCAGCACUUGGGCCACUGUACUGGGGAGACGGACAAGGCACCAAACCCCCCCCCCCCGCCACGCCUCCCACCAGCAUCAUCAUUCCCACUGCGUCUUUUUCGGGGAGCCUCUGGCAAACGCCCUCAGCAUGUCGAGGACCACCGGGAGGACCACCCGGAGGAACAAACAAACAGGGGACGUCUGCACCCAGGAACGGGCGGGACUCGCACUGAGUGACAAAUGAAUGGAGCCACCCUCCCCCACCUCCCCACCGAAAAGAAAACAUGCCAUCAAGUGGAAAAUGACAGCCACUGCAACUGCUGCAAAGGUUUCUGACCAGUAAGGUCCUGGCAAGCAAGGGCGUUCCUUCCUGGCACUCUUCCGAGGGAAAGGUCCACCCGCCACGAGUGACGAAACUUCAGGUGAGCUGAAUGUUCUCCAUUUGCUUAUCCACCAGGUAAGGUAACCCUUAGGUAGCCUCAAACGCCAAAGCGACAGUCAGCCCCAAAGCACAGAAGGUAUCUCUUAAAUAGCCUCAAGCCUAUUUCACACUUCACUUUUCUACAUGCUGAUAUGGUCCAUGCAUGGACUCUUGUACAUACUACAAUUGUCCAGUAAUGAUAUUGCACCAGACCUUGAGAGGGCAGAUGUAUUGCAUGACAAAUAUAAUCAGUGUACUGAAAUGGGUAAACUUUUAUGAACAGUGAUAAAGUGAUUAACAGGCUUGGGUCCUUUAACGGUAACAACAUACCGCAGAAUUCUGAAAUAUUGGCAACAAAAUUAGCAGGAACCCCUGGCUAAUGGCAGAAUUAAGAAAAAAACUCAUAUAUGCAGUAUAAUGUCUGGACAAUAUAAAAAAUCAGAUAUGCGAGUACUGCACCCUGUGAAGGUACCAGACUCACCCUCUGCACGGACUACAGCUGCACGCGGAAGAAAGAAGUAUGAAUUGGCCUGAAAGUACAAUUGAGAACUAAAGUAGCAAUCCAGUCUUCUAUGGUAAAAGGUACCCCUUAGCUAACCACGAACACGUGUCUUGAAGCAAUGCGAGUCUGCACCCCCUUUACAUCAGCAAAUCACACCAAUGAAUUCAGUGGAUUCACACCUGUGUACCAUUGAGAUUUCUGAAGUGAGUGUGAGUUUUAGCUCAGUCUGAAAACACCAUAAUCCUUGUGUCUGCUCUUGUGUGUCACUCUUUAGGUAAUGUUACAGUGUCUAAGGGCUUCAUUUUUAGUUUUUACCUGAAGUUGUGGAGGGAAAAAAAGGGAAGUUUUUCCUGAAGCCAACCACUGGAAAAUUGAGAGGAAGGACAAAAGUAAUAAAUAAUUAUCAGGCAUAAAAUACAAAAGGAAAUCCGAACUCGUUGUGCAUUAAAUGAGGGCUGACACCUUUACAAUAUCCCUGAGUUAUCUUCCAUUGUACAGGGGAUUAUUCUUUCCAGAAAUUAUUCUGUCCAGGAAGUAUGCUGUACGGGAAGUAUGCUGUCUGGGAAGUAUGCUGUACGGGAAGUAUGCUGACGGGGAAAGUAUGCUGUCCGGGAAGUAUGCUGACGGGGAAAGUAUGCUGUCCGGGAAGUAUGCUGUCCGGGAAGUAUGCUGUCCGGGAAGUAUGCUGUCCGGGAAGUAUGCUGUCCGGGAAGUAUGCUGUCCGGGAAGUAUGCUGACGGAGGAAGUAUGCUGUCCGGGAAGUAUGCUGACGGAGGAAGUAUGCUGACGGAGGAAGUAUGCUGAUGGGGGAAGUAUGCUGACGGGGAAAGUAUGCUGUCCGGGAAGUGUGCUGACGGGGGAAGUGUGCUGACGGGGGAAGUGUGCUGACGGGGAAGUAUGCUGUCCGGGAAGUAUGCUGACUCGAAAGUAUGCUGACGGGAGAAGUAUGCUGUCCGGGAAGUAUGCUGUCCGGGAAGUGUGCUGACGGGGGAAGUAUGCUAACGGGGGAAGUAUGCUGACGGGGAAGUAUGCUGACUCGAAAGUAUGCUGACGGGAGAAGUAUGCUGUCCGGGAAGUAUGCUGACUCGAAAGUAUGCUGACGGGGGAAGUAUGCUGUCCGGGAAGUAUGCUGACUCGAAAGUAUGCUGACGGGGGAAGUAUGCUGACGGGGAAGUAUGCUGACGGGGAAGUAUGCUGACGGGAGAAGUAUGCUGACGGGCAAAGUAUGCUGACGGGGAAGUAUGCUGACCGGGAAGUAUGCUGUCCAGGAAAUUGUUACGCAUCACCAAAUUAGCAAGAGAUAUAUGCUGACUGAGCACCGCGUGAGAUGAGCUGUAGCAUUUCCUGGAACAAAACUGAAGCACGGGCGAGAACAGGCAGGCAAGAUGUCAGGGAAUCAGCAAGUGAGCCAGCCACUAUGGUGUAGGAGGAUCCUUAACCCUGUUGAACACCCGUUUGAGUGGAAUUUGGCAACAUUUUUACUAAAUUUUGCAAAUGGUUUGUUUUAAAUCUUUAUUUCCCCCGUGUUUCAUAGGUCUGAGCUGUGUAGAUAUGAAACAUUACAGAAAUUAGUGUUUAUGUAUAACCUGUGCAGGGAAGGGUAAGGAUUAUCUAGUCUGUAGCGAUGACUGGUACUUCACUCUCUUGUUUGUACACAAGGGUCAGGCUAUAUGAAUGGCCUGAAGUGUCGCCCUGCACAGCAGUCAGUAUUUGCUUUAAGAAAGUGGGGGAUUUUGUAAGUUUUUGCUGUUAUUAGUUGUUAGUGUCUCAUACCAUGGUUUCACUCCUUAGGCGGUUCACAUCUUUUGGGUUGUGGGUUUGAAUCCCACUUCCGCUCUCUGUUUGUGCAGUUGCUAUGUUCAACCUAUAUUGUGUGCGUUUCCAUGGUGAUGUAAAUAGGUCUCUCUAUAUGGUCCAUAAUGUGCAUGUGUAUAUGGGUGUGCAUGCAGCAAUGGACUGGUGUUCCCUAUGCGCCCUACUCUGCCUGCAGUGAGCUCUAGGUCCCCUCCUAGGGGCCUGUGCAGGAUAAGUGGUUGGAAAAUGGAUGCGUGUUGAUAUCUGGAGCAGGGAGCCUUAUGGAUUCCUCCAGGACUGCUGAGAAAUGGGGAUAGGUGUAUGUUCUUUUUUCCUAAUUUUGGUGUUUGGUUGGUAGCGAGCCCUGUGUUGAAUUUCAGGUGAAAAUCAUCACUUCCUGUUCAGGGACACUGUUUACAUCAAGACUGUCAGAACUAAUUAUCAGGUCCUAAUUAAGGUAAUGUGAAAGUUCAUACAUGCACUGAUUGUGUAAUGUUAGAGAAUUGAUAGUCCACAACAAAACAAUCUGUCAGAAUUAUAAAUCAGUGUCAAAGUAUCAGAAACGCCCCCAGGUUACACCUAGCAACACCCGUGUUACACUGUACAUCAGUACUCACUACUAGGACUGUACAAUGAACCUGUCUAGGCUACCUGUAUGUUUGUGUCUAUGGUAUGUAUGUAUGGAUAUAUGUGUGUGUGUGUGUACCGCAACAGACUGGCAUCCAUCUAGGAUGUUCAUGUGCCCUGUGCUUGCUGUAUGGGGCUCUGGAGUGCAUAAGUAUUUUAUAUUUUUAUCCAUAACAUUGAUCUUCUUCUUUUUUGGUGGGUCUUAUUAAAUGUGAAAGAUAACGCAAUCGCGACUUGCCUCAGACUGUCAGAACCAGGAUUUGCUCAUAUUUUACUGUGCUGCACAGUGUGAAUAAUUCAGCCUAAUUUCUUUACAGAGACCACAGGAGAGCUUGGCUGUGCAAACAGCUCUGCAUGCAGAUGUUCCACACGAACAGCCCAAUGAAGACGGUCGCGGUCUUCCUGCAAAUUUACGCCUUAUCCACAGUCAUGACCACGUCUACUGUGUUGAAUGUCUGCACAGACCAGCUUCUGCUGUCAAUUCUUCUUAGGCUUCAUUUGCUACUUGUAAUCCCACUAGGAUUGGCCCCGAUGUUUUGGGUUGAGGGAAUCGCUGUUUACGGUGGGCUGCAUUUGGUUACUUGAAAUCUCGUUUACUACUGUUUCAUCUAAAACAGCUUUGGUUGGAGUCCUGCCAGUAGCCAGUAGUCAAUACUUCAGAAGUAACAAAAGGGUGGUUAGUGAUUAGAUUUUUUUUUUGUUGCUAGGGGUGACAAAGGCCAGUCUUUUGUUUUUCCCUACAAGUUGAGGAUUUUAUUGGAUACUGGUAGCUGACAAAACCAAUUGACACGAAAGCCAAAAUUAGCCAAAUGAAUUAGCCCCUCCACUGGAAAUUUAUACCCCAUGUCAUGAGUAUUUACUCUCUUUUUCCUCCCUUCGUCACACAGCGUGACAUUGAUUUAAAACCUUCUCCCAGUCUCUGCUUGGUAUUUUGGGCCAGAAGGGGUAACAGGUCAUAAGUAUGACACAAUGUCUUCACUCUGCUUUGAGUCAACUGGCCAGAUAUAUAGGCCCUUAUUGGGUUGUGCCAGGGGCGGCAUGGUGGUGCAGUGGUUAGCACUGUUGCCUCACACCUCUGGGACCCGGGUUCGAGUCUCCGCCUGGGUCACAUGUGUGCGGAGUUUGCAUGUUCUCCCCAUGUCGUCGUGGGGUUUCCUCCGGGUACUCCGGUUUCCCCCCCACAGUCCAAAAACAUGCUGAGGCUAAUUGGAGUUGCUAAAUUGCCCGUAGGUGUGCAUGUGUGAGUGAAUGGUAUGUGAGUGUGCCCUGCGAUGGGCUGGCCCCCCAUCCUAGGUUGUUCCCUGCCUCGUGCCCAUUGCUUCCGGGAUAGGCUCCGGAUCCCCCGCGACCCAGUAGCAUAAGCGGUUUGGAAAAUGGAUGGAUGGGUUGUGCCAUUUAAUAACAUAUUGGAACAUUAAUGCUGUGUUUUUUGUUUCUGAAGCAGUUUGUAUUUUUAUCAGAGUCCUUCAGAAAGAAGACAUCAACAGAAAUAACAUGGUGUCACAUGGCAGCAAAUAUUUGGAGCAAGUCUGGGCACCGAGGGCGAAUAGUCAACACCUGUGAUCAUAGGGCAGCCUCGCAACAUGGGGCAUAAUUAAUACACCUUGGGGUGUGAGUUUCAGUGCGAGUUUCUGACCUUGGCGACCACCAGACCCAGGAAGUCUUCCUCUGGAAGCUGGUUUCAGAUGGUGGCUUAGAGUGUUGUAUGCUAAUCAUCUAGCACCAUUUGAAAUCAGUGUUCUUGGGGCAGGACAGACAUCUGCCAUAUGCAUCGAGUAAAGUAGGGAGUAGAUGUUUGUGGGAGGGGUGGACAAACCUCUUGACACAUCUCUAAGCCAUUGUAUUGAGUAUAAAGCAACUUUUCUCCAUGUUGCUGAAUACAGGGUGUCUAUAAGCGACGGUUGUGCUCGGUUGUGCGUCCAUCGUGCUCAUUAGCAUACAGCCAGGUGGUCCCUUAGAAGGUUUCCAAGCCGUUUCAUCAUAAGGGGGCCGCACCCUCCAGUCCAAAUGUGCUGUGGACCUGUUCACCAUCCAAUAGAACCUGGCUUUUUCAUAGACAGCUUCCUGGGUUGAUGUAGGGAUGAGAUCUGUUCAAAGUUCUGGUGACCGUUCUCGCAUGUGGUGAGCGUUCUCGCAUCUGGUAACCGUUCUCGCAUCUCGUGACCGUUCUCGCAUCUCGUGACUGUUCUCGCAGCAGCCUGAGCACAGACGCCCGCAGCCUGGAUACCUGUCCUCUCACCAAGGCUGACCGAUUUCUUUUGGUGUUCAGAGUCUCCUUUAGUUUCUAGCACCAUUUGAAAUCGGUUACAAUGUAGGAGGGAAGUCAGCAGAGUUCCAGCACCUGUACAGAUCCUGCCCCUGUCCUCACCGUGCCCUUUUGCAAGAGAUUACAGCAACGCUUUGAAGUUUAUGAAAACAGAUCAAUUCAUCAAACAUACCAACAUGAAUUGGCAUAUCAUUUAUUUUUCCUAACCUCUUGUUUUUUUUUAAUCUUCCAUCCAUCUACUACAGGGUUGCAAUGAGCCUGUACCAGGCAGCAUGAAUAUUUAAUAAAUAUUAAGGCAUUAAAUAUUUAAAUUUGUACUCAUGUUAAUAAUGGUUUCUAAUUCCAGUCCCCAGUGAUGUCUGCAUUUAAAGUGAUUUGUAUUUUUGUUUAUUUAAUUAACAGUAUUAGGCUUUGAUUUUGAAGCAUCUAUGUCUGUUUCAUUUGUUGACUCAGUUCUCAAAAUUCAAGAUGAUGUGAACAUGUGAACUUAUAAUUUAUUCGAAACCUGAAUGCACUGACAUAAAAUGCUGUUCACUGUA